rnacentral:snRNA from 1 species
AUCGCUUCUCGGCCUUUUGGCUAAGAUCAAGUGUAGCAUCUGUUCUUAUCAGUUUUUUUUUUUUUUUUUUUUUUUUUUUUUUNAGCUGUAGCAGCCGGCCUACACCAGAGCCACAGCAACGCCAGAUCCGAGCCAUGUCUGCAACCUACA